UAGGCAUUCAAAUGGCCACCCAUGUUCUCGAUCUCCUCCUCAAGGUCUCUCGCAGACCUCCUCUCGGUGCCCUUGAAAAUCAUGUGCUCUAGAAAAUGUGCCGUUCCGUUAGUAUCCUCAGUCUCGAAGCGAGACCCAGCGUCGAUCCAGACCCCAACAGUAGCUGUUUUUGAGGCGAGAGUGGACUCCGUCGCGACGCGGAGACCGUUGGGGAGCGUGGUGAUGCGGGUUUCGGGAGCAGAGAGGAUAUGGGUAUGGGUCGUGAGAGU
rnacentral:misc_RNA from 1 species